AUCUGCAACAACGAACUGAUACCGUGCAAAAUACUGACAACGCCGACAAAUACGGAUUUUCUACGAAUAUUUUAUAAAUAUAAUUUUAUGAAUGUAUUGGGUUUCUGUGCGACACAAACGCAAACGUGAACUAAAAACGCGAUAGCAGGAAACGCAUCGGCAACGAAACGGAAGCGACAGAGGCGCUUGUCACCUUCAGAACUUACAUUUUACGCUAUAUUUAGCUCCGUAAUGGAAUUUUAGUAGUUACAGUCGAAAUCGGAUCGAAAAACGAAUUAGAAACGACCUCUUGAGCAAAUUUCACGAUUUUAACGCAACGGACGAACGAACGCGUCAACCGUCAACUUCCGACGCUAUUUUACAUAUCCUCGAUCCUAAAAUGACAUUGUACGACAUUACACGACGUUCCGGUGCAAAACGAGCUUUAGAAACGAGAUCGGGGGGUUCAAAAUGCUAGAAACGGGCUUGUGGGCCUUGUGCCCAAGCCCACAAAACCUUCACUAUAUAAAGGGUUUUACCCCUAAAAUCUUUCAUUUUCAUCUAAACUUUCUCUCUCUAACCCUCAAAUCCUCUCAACUCUCUCUCUCUAGAAACAAGUCCGGCGAGAAUUCCGGCCGACUUCCGGCGGAGAUCUGGCGACCGGCGACUUUUCCGGUGGAGUUCCGGCGACCGACGAUUUUCCGGCGAAUUUUCCGGCGGCCGUUUUUCGGCCAAGAGUACACUUUUUCGACUAUAUCCGACGUUCCGGAUCGCGUGGUGAGAUGCUUAGAUCGGGACUUGAGGAGCAUUUCUGCAAAUUUUCAAGAAAUUUUAUUCUCCGGCGAAAUUCCGACUUCUGACAUGGUUUUGGCGAGGUUCCAGCCGUCCGUUUUCGACGAAAAUUAUAUUUUUGGGCUCCUAAUGACCCGUAGAGUCCAUACGAAACACUUUCGUCUCGGGUGAAAAUUUAAGUUCGGGACGCUCUCGGGCUCGGGUCAACACGGUCAACAGGUCAAACACGGGUCAAGAGGCAGUUUUGGGUCAUUUUUAGUGCCUCGGUUCAGUUUCGGGUCCGGUCAACCCUGGUCAACACGGGUCAAACGUGGUCAAAGCUGGUCAAAGGUGGUCAAAGCUGCUCAAAUUCAGUCAACUGCUGGUCAACGCAGUCAACUCAGUCAACACGAAGCUCGGAAUGCUAUAGUUGCACGCUAGCUACUUCACAUUCUUGGAACGACACUACAGAAUCACGUUAAGCUAGCUUUGCACAGGAAUGUCAAGUCGAGGUGAUUCGACACAGUCGAGGUGAUUCGACACUAAAAACCGUCUACACGGGUUGAGUACAUCCUAUGUCGCCGCAUACGUUAAUGUCCUCGCGAAACAUUAACGAUCAACCUGUUCAUAGACGCUUUACAUACCCAUUUACAACACUAAAACUUUCAUAUAUUCAUAAUAUUCAUUUGAUGGAAACUCACAAAUACAUGAAUUACAAAUUUUGUAACGUUUUUCAAGUUAUACCUAAGUAAGAGGAAGCGCUGAUCCUGCUUACAAAGGAUAACCCACGGGAUUUCGAGUACUUAGCAGGCGUUUAAUUUCUAGAAGUCUUAGCUUAUUUGCUUCCGCUGUGCAAUGAAGAUACCGGUCCAGUCACGCCAGCUCUGAUAUUUCGGGGUGUGACAGAUCGAGACUGAGAUUUACACAGCGGGGCUAGUGGUGGUUGAAAAACCCACUCUUGUAGGGUUUUGGCAGGUGAUUGCGGGGGCGGAUCAUUGGGAGCACGAAAAGUCGAAGGGGAGGGUGUCGUUUGUUAGGGACCCACUAUACAGGUAUCUGCACCAUUUGCUCGCCACUUCUAUUUCAGCGCGCGGCUACAGCCGUGAGUGGUGUACGACCACAGAUCUUUUUUUCCUUUACUGUUUGUUGUAUAGGAGGCCGUGCGCGCUAGCACACGGUCUAGCCCAGUACUUCGCCUCCGGCCAUCACCGGCAGGAGCGCGGAUUUUUGUAUGGCGGGGCGUACGUGACCGUCAUUGCCCGUUCAUUGGGCCUCGUACCACACCAGGACCCACAUCUACGGACGCCGGCCAUCAUGCCGACGCGGAUGGGUAUGCAGUCGCUAUGGGGGAUGAGGGUUAUCAGGAGGUUCCCCAUUGGCCCGCGGUUUAAAAACCGCGAAGGGGGCGUAUGGACAGAGCAGGCCUUACCAGAGCAUUUCGAGCCCGUUCAUCCUCCUGCAGAUCCUGCUGAUGUAGUGCCCGUGGAGGACCCUCCGGAGGAUCUAGACGGUGCAGCGGAGCCACAGCCACCGCCACCUGCCGGGGCACCUCAGUUUCCACGUCACGUUAUUCGAGGUCGUGCCCCAGGAGCUGCGCUACAUCCGGAUGUACGAGCCAGGCUUGACAGGCUCGACGAUUUGGUAGGUUGGCUGGUACGGGCGGAGCAGGAUAGACGAGAGAGAGAGGGAUUACCCCCGAUACCGCUUCCACCGGUUCGAGCGCCACAUCAGGAGCACCAGCCGCAGCAGCAGCAUCAGGAUUCAGAUUCGGAUUUGGAUGCAUAGACCUGUUGUUGUUUUUAUUGUUAUUAUGGAUGUACAAACUUAUCUUAUAUAUUUUUGUUAUGGAUGUAAACAGUUAUCUUAUAUAUGUCAUAUUUAUGUUUGUUUUCAGUUAUUCGGUUACUUAAUGAUUGUUGUCUUAAAUUUAGGUAAUACGGAAACAAUAUAACCCCCUGAAUAUAA
rnacentral:lncRNA from 1 species